UACGUAGGGUGCGAGCGUUAAUCGGAAUUACUGGGCGUAAAGUGUGCGCAGGCGGCAGAGCAAGUCGAGUGUGAAAGCCCCGGGCUUAACUUGGGAAUUGCGCUCGAAACUACUUUGCUGGAGUGUGGCAGAGGAAGGUGGAAUUCCACGUGUAGCGGUGAAAUGCGUAGAGAUGUGGAGGAACACCAACGGCGAAGGCAGCCUUCUGGGCCAACACUGACGCUCAUGCACGAAAGCGUGGGGAGCAAACAGG
rnacentral:rRNA from 1 species